rnacentral:rRNA from 1 species
UGUAUAAGUUAUAAAGUCUAGCCUGCCCACUGAUUGAUUUAAAGGGCCGCGGUAAUUUGACCGUGCGAAGGUAGCAUAGUCAGUAGUCUUUUAAUUGAAGGCUUGAAUGAAAGGUUGGACGAGGGAUGAGCUGUCUCCUUUAUGUAAUUUGAAUUUAACUUUUGAGUGAAAAGGCUCAAAUUAUCUAGUGGGACGAUAAGACCCUAUAAAACUUUAUAUAAGUUUAAUUUGGCUUACAAUUUGAGUGAAAAGUAGCUUUAUUAGGCUUAUAUUUCGUUGGGGAGAUGUAGAUAUAAUAUGUAACUGUCUAUUUAAUUUAAUAAUUAUAAUUAGUGUGUGAUCCUUCUUUGUGGAUUAAAAGUAUAAGUUACUUUAGGGAUAACAGCGUGAUUUUCUUUGAGAGUUUUAAUAAACAAGAGUA